rnacentral:rRNA from 1 species
GACGAACGCUGGCGGCGUGCCUAAUACAUGCAAGUAGAACGCUGAAGAGAGGAGCUUGCUCUUCUUGGAUGAGUUGCGAACGGGUGAGUAACGCGUAGGUAACCUGCCUUGUAGCGGGGGAUAACUAUUGGAAACGAUAGCUAAUACCGCAUAACAAUGGAUGACACAUGUCAUUUAUUUGAAAGGGGCAAUUGCUCCACUACAAGAUGGACCUGCGUUGUAUUAGCUAGUAGGUGAGGUAAUGGCUCACCUAGGCGACGAUACAUAGCCGACCUGAGAGGGUGAUCGGCCACACUGAGACUGAGACACGGCCCAGACUCCUACGGGAGGCAGCAGUAGGGAAUCUUCGGCAAUGGGGGCAACCCUGACCGAGCAACGCCGCGUGAGUGAAGAAGGUUUUCGGGUCGGAAAGCUCUGUUGUAAGUCAAGAACGGGUGUGAGAGUGGAAAGUUCACACUGUGACGGUAGCUUACCAGAAAGGGACGGCUAACUACGUG